GACGAACGCUGGCGGCGUGCUUAACACAUGCAAGUCGAGCGGAGCGGCGAACGGGUGAGUAACGCGUGAGUAACUGCCCCCCUCUCUUGGAUAACAGUUGGAAACGGCUGCUAAUACCGGAUAGUGGGGGCUGACUCGCGGCCGAUCGGCUUGUUGUUGGGGUAGUGGCCUACCAAGGCGACGACGGGUAGCCGGCCUGAGAGGGCGACCGGCCACAUUGGGCUGAGAUACGGCCCAGACUGCUACGGGGGGCAGCAGUGGGGAGUAUUGCACAAUGGGGGGAACCGUGGUGCAGGGGCGCCGGGUGCGGGAUGACGGCCUUCGGGUUGUAAACCGCUUUGAGCCAUGACGCGGUAGGGGCAGAAGAAGCACCGGCUAACUACGUGCCAGCAGCCGCGGUAAUAC
rnacentral:rRNA from 1 species